AACGUUGGAGAUGCGGCGUAUCGCGGAAUCAUAAUCCGCGUGUCGGGGGUUCAAGUCCCUCCUCCGCUACCA
rnacentral:tRNA from 2 species